rnacentral:rRNA from 1 species
GACGAGCGCUGGCGGCGUGCUUAACACAUGCAAGUCGAACGGAAAGGCCCUGCUUUUGUGGGGUGCUCGAGUGGCGAACGGGUGAGUAACACGUGAGUAACCUGCCCUUGACUUUGGGAUAACUUCAGGAAACUGGGGCUAAUACCGGAUAGGAGCUCCUGCUGCAUGGUGGGGGUUGGAAAGUUUCGGCGGUUGGGGAUGGACUCGCGGCUUAUCAGAUUGUUGGUGGGGUAGUGGCUUACCAAGGCUUUGACGGGUAGCCGGCCUGAGAGGGUGACCGGCCACAUUGGGACUGAGAUACGGCCCAGACUCCUACGGGAGGCAGCAGUGGGGAAUAUUGCACAAUGGGCGGAAGCCUGAUGCAGCAACGCCGCGUGCGGGAUGACGGCCUUCGGGUUGUAAACCGCUUUCGCCUGUGACGAAGCGUGAGUGACGGUAAUGGGUAAAGAAGCACCGGCUAACUACGUG